CCUACGGGAGGCAGCAGUGGGGAAUUUUGGACAAUGGGGGCAACCCUGAUCCAGCAAUGCCGCGUGAGUGAAGAAGGCCCUCGGGUUGUAAAGCUCUUUUGUCAGGGAAGAAAAGGUUGCGGCUAAUAUCCGCGACUCAUGACGGUACCUGAAGAAUAAGCACCGGCUAACUACGUGCCAGCAGCCGCGGUAAUACGUAGGGUGCAAGCGUUAAUCGGAAUUACUGGGCGUAAAGCGUGCGCAGGCGGUUUUGUAAGACUGUCGUGAAAUCCCCGGGCUUAACCUGGGAAUGGCGAUGGUGACUGCAAGGCUAGAGUUUGGCAGAGGGGGGUAGAAUUCCACGUGUAGCAGUGAAAUGCGUAGAUAUGUGGAGGAACACCGAUGGCGAAGGCAGCCCCCUGGGUCAAAACUGACGCUCAUGCACGAAAGCGUGGGGAGCAAACAGGAUUAGAUACCCUGGUAGUCCACGCCCUAAACGAUGUCUACUAGUUGUCGGGUCUUAAUUGACUUGGUAACGCAGCUAACGCGUGAAGUAGACCGCCUGGGGAGUACGGUCGCAAGNUUAAAACUCAAAGGAUUGACGGNUGAGAGNGCGAGACGACGACGAGGGAGAGG
rnacentral:rRNA from 1 species